rnacentral:antisense_RNA from 1 species
UAUUAUGGUGAGCUGGCAAGGCAGCUUUGUGCUGGCCGUAACCUUUGAGCGGUAGUUCCAACCUUGUUCAGUUCACCACUCAA